AGGUCGCGUCAGUUGCAAAGAAAUCUGUAAAUUUAAAGGAAUCUGUCACACAUUUUGCUAAAAGUAAAGAAGGUUCACUUAAAAAUAAUCGACGUGCGCACACUUCUCUUUUUAAUUCUUUGAUUUAUCAACAGCCGAUUAUUUUGCUGUCGUUGCGGUUUUUGGCGACAUUUUGUUUUAAUGUGUUUUAAAGACUUCAGAAAACGAUUUAACGUGAUUUUUUGGAUGUUUUUGUGAUCAAACAUCUCUACUUUUAUAUGGAUCUUUUAUUUGAAUCUAGUGUAUAGUGUGAAUGACAGUGUUUUAAUGAAGGAUGAAUCAACUUAAGGCAAAUUAAGAUAUUAAUAUAAUCAUAUUACACCAAGAAGGAUCACACAAACUUCUCUAAUAAGGGAAUUUCUUGAUGUUUAGGAGAUGAAGACCGUCCUUGGAGAUGAUAACGGUUCUUGGGAUGUAAUUGAAAAUCCCAUGAAGACGAGUUAAAUAUAAUGUGCAGUAAUUAAUAGGUAUAUCAUAAUAAUAAAUAAAUUUAUUGUAGUUGCGAAGCUAGUAUUUUGUGAAAGCAGGGAGUUUAGGACUUGCUAUGGUUCAAGGUUUUCAAAUUCGCCAUGUCCCUCUAUGUCUUAAUCUUUUAUGUUGUUUUACACAAUGUUAUAACGCCUAUGCCUGUUAAAAAAACAAGGUUUGUCCUUUUUGUGAUUGCUUAAUUUAGAAACUAAGCGAAAAAACGUAUUCUACAAGUAUCAUACAAGUUAAUCAAUAUUAAAGCCUACUAUUAUUAUAAAUUUAAAUGAUUA